GGGGCCGUAGCUCAGAUGGGAGAGCGUUGCGUUCGCAAUGCAAAGGUCGGGGGUUCGAUUCCCCCCGGCUCCACCA
rnacentral:tRNA from 1 species